rnacentral:rRNA from 1 species
GACGAACGCUGGCGGCGUGCUUAACACAUGCAAGUCGAACGGAAAGGCCCUGCUUUUGUGGGGUGCUCGAGUGGCGAACGGGUGAGUAACACGUGAGUAACCUGACCUUGACUUUGGGCUGACUUCAGGAAACUGGGGCUAAUAACGGAUAGGAGCUCCUGCUGCAUUGUGGGGGCUGGAUAUUUUCGGCGGUUGGGGAUGGACUCGCGGCUUAUCAGCUUGUUGGUGGGGUAGUGGCUGACCAAGGCUUUGACGGGUAGCCGGCCUGAGAGGGUGACCGGCCACAUUGGGACUGAGAUACGGACCAGACUCCUACGGGAGGCAGCAGUGGGGAAUAUUGCACAAUGGGCGGAAGCCUGAUGCAGCAACGCCGCGUGCGGGAUGACGGCCUUCGGGUUGUAAACCGCUUUCGGCUGUGACGAAGCGUGAGUGACGGUAACGGGUGAAGAAGCACCGGCUAACUACGUG